AAAACCUCCAGUGGUUAAUGGUGGCCAGCCUGGCAGGGCCCUGACUCAGCAGCAGGGUCCAUCGGACCGGUGGGAUGCAGACGUGGAAUAUCCAGGUCAGAACCAGCACGACAGAGGGACACCCAAGGCGAGCCAGGGAAGUGAGGCAGGUACUCUACUGAAGAAAAAUCACUCUGAUCAGAAUCUUGGCGUGCCUGAGAGCAGGGGUUUCAGAGGGAUGAUAAGCUUUCAGGGAAGGUCACUGUUGAUUUUACUCUUGAUGCCUUCUAUGCAAUGGCUGGCUUGA
rnacentral:lncRNA from 1 species